GCAGGGGCCCCGCUUCGCCCUCUCGCCUUCCCCGAGCCGCGCGGGCGCCCGCCGGGCGAGCGGGGACCAGCCGGGGCCGUGCAGCUCCCUGGGGAACGAGCCCCUGCUUGUACUUGCCACAUCCUCCUCUUUCCCGCGCAGCUCCAGCCCGGGUUACCUAGAGCUCGAGAAGGCACCAGCCCCACCUGGUGUCAGCAUGAUGGAUGCCACUGGGGUCAGCAGAGCCUUUCCAGGAAUGCGGCUGGGAGACUUCCACCGCCAGGCAAUGAAAUGGCAAUACAACCCAAACCAGCACCAACUGGCCCCCGGGCCGCACGCUCGGGGCAGGUGUCCGUAGCCCCCUCCUCCCGCCGUCCUCCUCGGCCCCUUCCCACGAGAGUUUCUUUCUUUAUUCCCUCUCGCCCGCUCCCCUCCCCUCGCACUCUGCCGGCCUGGCGAGCAGUUCGCGUGUGCGCCACGUGUGUCUCGGCCCGCGCGGGAAGCCGGGGCUGAAGGUGUCCUUGCCGGCCAGGGGAGCGGGGCUGGGGCAGAGUCCAGCCUGCCGCGCCCGCUUCCAGAGCAGGGCAGGACGUUCAGCAGCAAACCUUAUCAGGCAGCUUCCUGGCCAUCCUCUGUUGAUUCACUCCUGUCUUAACAGUGGGCAUCAAAUCAAAGAUAAGGGCACAUCAAUGAUUGACCACGCCGGCCUCCUUCGUCCCCUCCAGUGGCAGCGCCUGGGGGGACGCGGGCUGAGGUGCGUGCACUCCUCGUGUCAGAGCCCAGGGCUCUAACACAGAGGUCUUUUUUAAAGCCUCGCUUCCUCCUCCUGCUCCUAAAAUGUAUCCCAAUAGGGGGAAAAAUAUUCCAAAGUGAUUUCUCAGUCUCCUCUUUCCUCCCCUGUCUGGCACUUGUGAUCAUUAGCACUGAAAGCUGUUAAUGUCUUGUCUCACAGCUCCCCCUUUAGUCUCUUUGCUUUCCCUGUCUCGCGUUCAAAGACAGAUCAAUAGCAGGCUCUUUCUAACCUUGACCUAUCCCUCGACCCCGCCUCCAUCUGCAGCUGGCCCACUGUUUUGUUUUCCCACUCUGUCGAUAUCCAAGUCCCACUCGGUGACAGCAGACAAACAAGAGGGGCUUGCUGCUCCCAGGGGGCUCGCGGGCCUGGCUCUGCCCACCCCUCCCCCAGGCCGCCAGCCACAAUAGCGCGCUGGCCGGAGCAUUUCUGUCCCACUGAUUAUUGCACUGCUUUGUCCAAGUCCCUUUUCUCCCUCUCCCCUUCGCAUCAUCCGACUGUAAGAAAAGCGGGCCGUGCAAGUUCCACCUUGUGAUCAGAUGAGAAAGGCGAGCACCACACGCACUCGCCUCCACCCUGCUUUGACACCUACCGAAACACGCCUCCUGCCCCAAAGCCAGGAGAGGAUUCUUCAUCCUUCGAACAACCCAACUGAAAAGGACCGGGGGAAAAACAACAAAACCAAGAGCCUUUGAAAAGGCGAUUAAUUGUAAAUUAGCAGCAAUGCAAAAAUGUGGUGCCAACUUGCCGAUCAUAUUUUUUCCAACCUGGAUUUUAACGAGUCAAAGUCUCACCCCAGCCUAUGCUCCUUGCUAUCAGGAACAAGAAGCUAAUGCAGCGUUAAAUGUGCCAUUUCAUUCUAUAUACAACAAGGCGCGCUGAAUAAAGAGCAGAUAUUUUA